AUCCUUUUGUAGUUCAUAAGUGUGAUGAUUGGGGUUUUGCACUUAUGUGUAGGAUGUGAUGACUCUCUCAAACCUUGUUAUGACAUCAGCACAUUACCUGUCUGAUG
ensembl:snoRNA